CUUUCCGAUUGGCAAGAGGAAGGAGUCUUUGUGGAAUGAGGUGAGCUGUUCUUUGCCAAAACAUCCAACCAGCCUUUCCACUUUCCUCACCUGUUCCAGAGCGGUAUCAGGUUCAUAUCAGCUUUAUGCAGAUGUGUAGUUCUGAAUUCUGAAGAAUCAGGAGGUCCAAAACGUCUUACUAAACUGUUGAACCUGAAGUCCUGAGCGUUCUGAGGUUCAGCCUCUCCUAUAAUUAUGGUGCCUCCGUAAUAGCUCCGUAGUUCCAGGAAGCCACCACUGCCACAGCACUGCCUGGCCAAAG